AGGCAUGCGCCACUGCACCCAGCCCUAAAUGCAUUUUGACUUAUGAUAUGUUUAAGUUAUGAUGGGUUGAUGAGGGUAUGGCCCCAUUGCAUAUUGUAUAGCACCUGUAUUUCCCUAGGACCUGGAGACAUGGAAAUGAAUAAGACUGCUUUGCACACAGCGAGUGAGAGAGAGAGAGAGUCAUGAACAGAUUAGAGUACAUGUGACCAAAGCAGAAAUUCAGUAUUUAGAGAAUAAUGUGGAAGCCCAUGGUUGGGAGAGCAUAUGACUCAGUCUUGGGUAAGCAGAGGCAACUUCCUAGGGAAAGCUAUGCUUCAGCUGUGUCUUAAAGAGGUAAACCAGAUAAAGUAUGUGUUUGGAGUAGGAGGAACUCUAAACAGAGAGAAUAGCAUUUAAAAAGACCCCAAAAUGAAACAGCAGUAAUUUGGCUUUAGACUCUAGCCUGAGAGGUAGCCAUGGAUAAAGACAGGAGAGUGGUGUUCUCCAGGUUUUCAGUGGUGUACCAAGAAAGUAGGCAACAGGAGGGCACCACCCAAGGAACAGGCUGAAGAGGGGUGCACUCUCUGUGGAGUAUUUGAAAAUAAUAAAAAUGCCUAAUUCUAAAGAAUGAUGAAAAUACAGUAAGGAAAUGAUGCAGUCAAUCUCCUGGGUCGUGCUCAUCAGGAGAUGUCUGCUACAGUGACGUUUACAGGAGGAAAUCUUUCCUUGCAUCCUCACCCCCCAUACCAAAGAAGUGGAGAAUGACUCCGUUGAACAUCUUCAGCACCUAGCAAGCACUUUUAUGAUCUGAGCAAUUCGUUAUCAUAUGCCCAGUGGAAAGCAAAAGAAAGAAGGAGAAAGAACAGGUUUUUAGAAGAUAUGUAGAAUUUGGGACAAAUUGAGUUUUUACUGGUUUGUGGGAGAUUAAGAAGAGAUACACGGCAUAUAGGCAUUGGCUUUGGAUUG
rnacentral:lncRNA from 1 species